AGAGGUUUAGCUCAGCGGCAUAAGCGCCUGCCUUGCAAGCAGGCAGUCCUGAGUUCGAUCCCCGGUACCGAUA
rnacentral:tRNA from 1 species